rnacentral:rRNA from 1 species
UGAGGAAUAUUGGACAAUGGGCGCAAGCCUGAUCCAGCCAUGCCGCGUGCAGGAUGACGGUCCUAUGGAUUGUAAACUACUUUUGUACAGGAAGAAACAGUUCUACGUGUAGAACCUUGACGGUACUGUAAGAAUAAGGAUCGGCUAACUCCGUGCCAGCAGCCGCGGUAAUACGGAGGAUCCAAGCGUUAUCCGGAAUCAUUGGGUUUAAAGGGUCCGUAGGCGGUUAGAUAAGUCAGUGGUGAAAGCCCAUCGCUCAACGGUGGAACGGCCAUUGGUACUGUCUGACUUGAAUUAUUAGGAAGUAACUAGAAUAUGUAGUGUAGCGGUGAAAUGCUUAGAGAUUACAUGGAAUACCAAUUGCGAAGGCAGGUUACUACUAAUGGAUUGACGCUGAUGGACGAAAGCGUGGGUAGCGAACAGGAUUAGAUACCCCCGUAGUCCCUGAGCGGGCUGGCAAG